GGUGCAGUGCUUAGUUUGAUCCCUCCUCUGUCUUCCUACAAGAGCCACACCAUCUCUUGGUGGUGGAUGAGGAAUCUCAGAAGUGUUUUAGGCCAACACUGGGUGCAUGGCUUUCCAGAGAGGAAGGGGUGGAAGGCAGCCUUGGGUCUUGUUCUCUGGCUUGUAAUAUGCAAUCACAGCACGGCUGCAGCCAAAACACAACCACAGAGCUCUGCUUGGGUUUCCUCUGUGGAGCAGAGGGCUCUCAGAUACACUGGGAAAGACCACCAGAUGCUUUGGAGAUGAUGACCAACACAUCUUUCACUGACCAACUGAACUUUCACUCAAUGUGCUUUUGGGGAGAGGAGCAGAGAUGGGGGCUGUGGUCUCCUUAGGAGCCCUGGGGAGUUCAGAGGUGCUCUGCAAAGUGCUUCUCAGGAUUACUUCGAGGUUGGGGUUGGUGUCUCCAGGCACCCACAGCCUGUCCAUCAGCUCCAGCCCGCACUGGAUCGGGCCCAGGAUGCAUGAUCGCAGGUGCAACGUGCAGUGUGAGUCUUUGUAUAUGGGGCCGUGUUACCAAACCUAAUUUGAUCAAUUUGGAAAAGAAGUGGAGAUAGAGUCAGCAGCAAGAAAUAUGACAGUCGCUUUUGGCUCAAAACUACAGGAAUAAACAUCUAGAUUGCACCAAGACCUUCCCAGCCAACCUGCAGUCCUUUGGUGCCCAGGUUGCAAUGUUUCUGGACCACUUACCACUUCUGUGAACAGUCGAAGUGCAAGAGAUUUCUACAUGCUGUACAAGGGAUCAUCACAUUCACUGCCUCAUGACUGAAGACACUGACAUCUUGACUUGCUCCUCUUGUCUCAGAAAACUUUUUCUGUAACCUAAUAGAAUAAACCCCCACUUGGAUGAAA